UAUUUCUUAAGGCUCAAUUUUCAAAUAUGGCAAUUGUGUGCAGGUGAUUGUGAAGAAAGCUGACAGAACUGGUAUUCCAGUAAGAAUUGGUAAGAAGAACCCAUAUGACUGGACUUAUGCAGAGGCUGAGUUAAAAAGGCACCUUGGAGAAAAGAUUUUUAUUUAUGGGUUCAAAGUUGCUCACCUCCGCUGCUCUCCUAAUUUAUGGUUAUGGUGUUGGUGGC